GAUGAACGCUGGUGGCGUGCUUAACACAUGCAAGUCGAACGGAAAGGCCCAAGCUAGCUUGGGUACUCGAGUGGCGAACGGGUGAGUAACACGUGGGUGAUCUGCCCUGCACUUCGGGAUAAGCCUGGGAAACUGGGUCUAAUACCGGAUAGGACCACUUCUUGGAUGUUGUGGUGGAAAGUUUUUUCGGUGUGGGAUGAGCUCGCGGCCUAUCAGCUUGUUGGUGGGGUAAUGGCCUACCAAGGCGUCGACGGGUAGCCGGCCUGAGAGGGUGUACGGCCACAUUGGGACUGAGAUACGGCCCAGACUCCUACGGGAGGCAGCAGUGGGGAAUAUUGCACAAUGGGCGCAAGCCUGAUGCAGCGACGCCGCGUGGGGGAUGACGGCCUUCGGGUUGUAAACUCCUUUCGCUAGGGACGAAGCGUUUUGUGACGGUACCUGGAGAAGAAGCACCGGCUAACUACGUG
rnacentral:rRNA from 1 species